GGAAAGAUGGCUGAGAGGUUUAAAGCAUUGGUUUGCUAAAUCAACAUACAUUAAUUAUGUAUCAUGGGUUCGAAUCCCUUUCUUUCCA
rnacentral:tRNA from 2 species